GGAAAGGGAACAAGAGAGAGAAGACUAUACCCUGGAUACAAAAGAUAGCAUUAAUAUACAGACAUCCUUCCAGCCUAUGUAAGACGCUGCAUCAGCAUAUUCAGCAUUAUUUACACCAAGGAAAUAAGUAAAUUGUCUUCCAUGAAGAGCAAAAAUCCCACUCUCCCUUUGUCCUUGAGAAAUACAGAAGCCAGUAAAGCCUCCAGCUGUGGGAGUGACCAGUUUUCAUGAUGUCUGUGCUAGGCUGUGGUUCAUGCGAGCUUGGUGGAGCCAAUGGUAUGUGGACGACUUGGCAGAACAGCUGGAACGAUUGGCAAAAGUUAUCUUGGUCACCCAUCUGAGGGAGCAUGUUCUGCUCCUCAGCUCUGGCCCAUGAAGAUCUGGCUGGAAUUUCAGCUGCUUAUGAAUGUUGGGAUUACAGCAGUGGACAGCAACAGUUUUCAAAAUGUGCUUAGACCUCAGUUCUGCAACACACUAAUCGUGGUUGGAUUAAAGAUUUUGCAAGAGCAAAAUUAAAAGUUCAUAUAGGCUGCUUGAAGAAGGCUCAGGAGCAGUUAUCAAUUACUGGUAAAUGUUCAUUUUAUUAUUCUUGCAGUACAAUCUAGAGACCUCAGCAAGGAACGAUCUUCAUUGUCCUCAGCACCGUAAAAAGCCAGAACAAAUGGUCAGGUUUUUUCCACGCUUGGUGGAGAAUUGGCAAACAUUUUCUUGGAAAACAUUAUUUUUUUCUGAUGGCAGUCCAUCAAAUCCCAGUUUCAGCUCUCGUAUCCACCAUCUAUUCCAUGAGUGUUACUAUGGACUCCAUCUUCAGGUAACACAGAUCAAACACAGUGCUGUGUCAGUCACCCAAACUGUGCUGAUUUAUGCUGGCUGUGUCACUUCAGCAAGGACAAUGACAUUACACCAACUGACACCAGCUCAGGAUUUGGCCCUCGGAUGCUGUCAAUGCCAUUUAGUACCACUCUUCUCUUUCCACUUCUUCCUCAGUGCAGGGAGAUUAUUCUGCCUGAGUGCAACCAGGAGCCAGGCACAACUCAGCUCCCUUCCUGCACCCAGACUCCCCAGCUCAUUAGAUC